rnacentral:rRNA from 1 species
AGUGAACGCUGGCGGUAGGCCCAACACAUGCAAGUCGAACGGCAGCACAGUAAGAGCUUGCUCUUACGGGUGGCGAGUGGCGGACGGGUGAGGAAUACAUCGGAAUCUACUUUUUCGUGGGGGAUAACGUAGGGAAACUUACGCUAAUACCGCAUACGACCUACGGGUGAAAGCAGGGGAUCUUCGGACCUUGCGCGAUUGAAUGAGCCGAUGUCGGAUUAGCUAGUUGGCGGGGUAAAGGCCCGCCAAGGCGACGAUCCGUAGCUGGUCUGAGAGGAUGAUCAGCCACACUGGAACUGAGACACGGUCCAGACUCCUACGGGAGGCAGCAGUGGGGAAUAUUGGACAAUGGGCGCAAGCCUGAUCCAGCCAUACCGCGUGGGUGAAGAAGGCCUUCGGGUUGUAAAGCCCUUUUGUUGGGAAAGAAAAGCAGCAGGUUAAUACCCCGCUGUUCUGACGGUACCCAAAGAAUAAGCACCGGCUAACUUCGUG